GCGCGAAACCUCUGCAAUGCGGGAAACCGUGACAGGGGGAUCCCAAGUGCUCAUGCAUUGCAUGGGCUGUUCUUUGGUCUAAGUAACCAGAGGAGUAAGGGCUGGGCAAGACCGGUGCCAGCCGCCGCGGUAAUACCGGCAGCUCAAGUGGUAGCCGCGAUUAUUGGGCCUAAAGCGUUCGUAGCCGGAUAAGUAAGUCUUUGGUUAAAUCCUGCAACUUAACUGUGGGAAAUCUAGGGAUACUGCUUGUCUUGAGACCGGGAGAGGUUAGAGGUACUCCUAGGGUAGGGGUGAAAUCCUGUAAUCCUAGGGGGACCACCUGUGGCGAAGGCGUCUAACUGGAACGGGUCUGACGGUGAGGGACGAAACCUAGGGGAGCGAGCC
rnacentral:rRNA from 1 species